AAUACAUUUUGUUUCUUAUAUCUUUUAUUCCUUCUAUUAAAUUGUUUUAUAACCUUUUCUUUUCAUAUAUUUGUUCAUCUGUGAAGUAUUUUCUUGAACGCACUUUGAAAAAACCUUGAUUUUCUAUGAGGUGGAGGAAGAUGAGGCAUCCCAGCCUCUUACCCAGCUCCAGCUUGACCAGGCCAAGCAGCAUCUCCUCAGCCUGAUUAAGGACUCGAAACUGGGGCUUGUCGACAUCACCAAGGCCCUUCUGAAAAACAGUGGAGUCGUCUCUGCUGCUUUGCAAGACCCACUGAUUUUGCCCAAUCCAGUGGACGGGGCUUGGCAGGGCCCUCGAUGGGAACGUUGUGAUGACCGCCUGCUGCUUUCCGGUGACACUUCGGAACUGCAAAAGAAGUUUGGAGAAAGGGGGAUUGCCAGGAGGUUGUCUUUCCUUGACGCAGACUGACACUGCAGGUUCAUUUUGGCCCGUUGUUUUGUCACGUCGUGGGGUGGAUUUUGUAUAAUCUCUUUAUUUAAUCUCUUUGUAAUUAUAUGAUCUGUCUUCUUUAUGUUCAUUAGCUGCAUGGCAACACUCACAUUUGCACCUCUGGGCCAACAUAACCCACAACAAGCCUCGAGUGGUUGAUUUGUACGUGACCAUUUGUCGUUUAAUUUCGUUGCUGUGACGUACUGGAUGCUGUGUAAUGUGUUAUGAAUAAGAGAUUGAAGUAUACUGCUUUUAACAGACUGACUGCCUGAACUUGAUCCACAACAGGUUCAUCCAUUUUUAACCAUUUAUCGUUCUUGCCUGUGGCAUGAACAGUUUUCCAAGACUGUGCUUCAUUAAUUUUGUGCCAAGUUUAAGAAAGCAUAUUUUAAAAUGUAUUUUUUUCACCUUUAAUAAUGUAUGAAUUGGAAUUAAAAUGUUCUUAUCUAGAGUGUGGCUGUUUAUUUUGACUGUAACUGUGAUAAUUUUACAUGUGAUAUAGGUUAUGUAUGUUAUUGUGAAGUUUUUCUGUAUCCAAAUUAUCACAUGAACAGCGUAUGUUUAUUUAACCAGGGAAAAUACACAUUCAGCCUGAUCCAGACAAACUUCAACAAUAACGUAAUAGUAACUACUGGGCAGUUCUAUUCAACUGACAUAAGGAUUUGAGCACAUAAUAUAUGUUAUAAUUGUACUGAACUAAUGAAUAGAGGAUGCCACAUACUUUAGAUUCUCUCUUGAUGUUGACAGCACAGGUUGUGUGAAGUGAUGACUAGAAAAUUAACUCAUGAUCUCGACAAAC
rnacentral:lncRNA from 1 species